rnacentral:rRNA from 1 species
UACGUAGGGACCAAGCGUUGUUCGGAUUUACUGGGCGUAAAGGGUGCGUAGACGGCCUUCUAAGUCGAACGUGAAAUCCCCGGGCUCAACCCGGGAACUGCGUCCGAUACUGGAAGGCUUGAAUCCGGGAGAGGGAUGCGGAAUUCCAGGUGUAGCGGUGAAAUGCGUAGAUAUCUGGAGGAACACCGGUGGCGAAGGCGGCAUCCUGGACCGGUAUUGACGCGUGAGGCGCGAAAGCGUGGGGAGCGAACAGG